CUGAAACAUCGGCCAUUAUUGAUAAACAUAAAUUAAUUUCAUUAGAAGUCUCUGCUAAACUAAAAGAAGUUAAAAGUCUGGCCAACACACUUGUUGAACAAUGUGGUCAGAUUGGAUUGCCUCUUUCAGCACAAGUUACUGCCAAGCUCACGCAAAUAAAUCAUCUGGAAGAGUUAACCAUGGCAGCCAUAUUGACAAAAGAAACAUAUUUGGAAGAAGCUCACAGCAA
rnacentral:sRNA from 1 species